GCACUGGUGGUCCAGCGGCCACGACUCCGCACCCGUAAUGCGGCAACGAGGGUUCAAAUCCCUCCCGGUGCU
rnacentral:tRNA from 1 species